rnacentral:rRNA from 1 species
GGGGUGGAUUAGUGGCGAACGGGUGAGUAACACGUGGGCAAUCUGCCCUUCACUCUGGGACAAGCCCUGGAAACGGGGUCUAAUACCGGAUAAUACUCCUGCCUGCAUGGGUGGGGGUUGAAAGCUCCGGCGGUGAAGGAUGAGCCCGCGGCCUAUCAGCUUGUUGGUGGGGUAAUGGCCCACCAAGGCGACGACGGGUAGCCGGCCUGAGAGGGCGACCGGCCACACUGGGACUGAGACACGGCCCAGACUCCUACGGGAGGCAGCAGUGGGGAAUAUUGCACAAUGGGCGAAAGCCUGAUGCAGCGACGCCGCGUGAGGGAUGACGGCCUUCGGGUUGUAAACCUCUUUCAGCAGGGAAGAAGCGAAAGUGACGGUACCUGCAGAAGAAGCGCCGGCUAACUACGUGCCAGCAGCCGCGGUAAUACGUAGGGCGCAAGCGUUGUCCGGAAUUAUUGGGCGUAAAGAGCUCGUAGGCGGCUUGUCACGUCGGAUGUGAAAGCCCGAGGCUUAACCUCGGGUCUGCAUUCGAUACGGGCUAGCUAGAGUGUGGUAGGGGAGAUCGGAAUUCCUGGUGUAGCGGUGAAAUGCGCAGAUAUCAGGAGGAACACCGGUGGCGAAGGCGGAUCUCUGGGCCAUUACUGACGCUGAGGAGCGAAAGCGUGGGGAGCGAACAGGAUUAGAUACCCUGGUAGUCCAC